rnacentral:rRNA from 1 species
GACAGAGGGGGCAAGCGUUGCUCGGAAUUACUGGGCGUAAAGGGCGCGUAGGCGGUUCGCUAAGUUGAAUGUGAAAACUCUGGGCUUAACCCAGAGCCUGCAUUCAAUACUGGCGGGCUAGAGUUCUGGAGGGGAGUAGCGGAAUUCCUGGUGUAGCGGUGAAAUGCGUUGAUAUCAUCAGGAACACCGGUGGCGAAGGCGGCGUCACUGGGUCUCUACUGACGCUGAGGUACGAAAGCCAGGGUAGGCGAACGGG